GAUGAAGAACGUAGUGAAAUGCGAUAAGUAAUGUGAAUUGCAGAAUUCAGUGAAUCAUCGAAUCUUUGAACGCACAUUGCGCCCGCCAGAAUUCUGGCGGGCAUGCCUGUUCGAGCGUCAUUUCAACCAUCAAGCCCCCGGCUUGUGUUGGGGACCUGCGGCUGCCGCAGGCCCUGAAAAGCAGUGGCGGGCUCGCUGUCACACCGAGCGUAGUAGCAUACAUCUCGCUCUGGGCGUGCUGCGGGUUCCGGCCGUUAAACCACCUUCAUAACCCAAGGUUGACCUCGGAUCAGGUAGGAAGACCCGCUGAACUUAAGCAUAUCAAUAAGCGGAGGA
rnacentral:misc_RNA from 1 species